rnacentral:rRNA from 1 species
CCUACGGGGGGCUGCAGUGGGGAAUUUUGGACAAUGGGGGCAACCCUGAUCCAGCCAUUCCGCGUGAGUGAAGAAGGCCUUCGGGUUGUAAAGCUCUUUUGUCCGGAGCGAAACGGGCGGCCCUAAUACGGUCGUCUACUGACGGUACCGGAAGAAUAAGCACCGGCUAACUACGUGCCAGCAGCCGCGGUAAUACGUAGGGUGCGAGCGUUACGCGGAAUUACUGCAGGUGAAGUGUGAGCACGGGGGUGAAAUCCCCGGGCUCAACCUGGGAAUGGCAUUUGGGACUGCAAGGCUGGAGUGUGGCAGAGGAGACUAGAAUUCCUGGUGUAGCAGUGAAAUGCGUAGAUAUCAGGAGGAAUACCGAUGGCGAAGGCAGGUCCCUGGGUUAACACUGACGCUCAUGCACGAAAGCGUGGGGAGCAAACAGGAUUAGAUACCCCAGUAGUC